UCUAUGAGCCUGGGUCUGGAGUAGGGCGUAACCUAUGAGAGGAGGAAAGCUGCCAUCUCCAGUGCCUCUGAGGUACAGUAUGGCCAGGCCACAUCCCCCAGCUGCCUCUUGAUUCCUGCUGGAGGGUAUGUCUAGGCCAGAACGCUUUUGGUAAGAGACUGCCUCCCUGGGGGCUUAUUUCCUAACAGUCAGAAACAAAAAAAGACACGGGUACCUUGAAGUGCGAUGCUGCGCUCCCUAACCCCUUUGAAUGGCAUCCACAGCUCCCAGAGUGUUUAUAAAGAAGCUGCCAAAAGUCUUUUUGACCUGAAAAUACAGACACCCUGAGCCCUAUGAUACGCCUGAAGGACCAGGGUGCCUCACUCAGAGGUGCGGGCAGCCCCCUGAGCUCCCCGGACAGACCUCAGCUGGGGCACCUACACCACUCGAAGAGCAGUGGCACCCUUGGAGUGCUGCCCCCUCCUUCCCGAGUCGUGGGGCUACAGGUCACCAACUUAUUUGUUCCUCCUGCUCAGUUUAAUGAACAUUGAGGGGAUUUUUUUUUCCCUCCUUGGCACACCUGGAAGGAUGAAGUACAUCCCUCCUCUUCCUCCAGAGAAGACUGUAAGCCUCAGGCUAAGAGUCUUUCUUCGAGGCUUAGAGAAUCGCCUGGGGCAAAACUGAGAAUAGAUUUGUCAUUUCCUUGACAAGUGGUGAUCAGAAAUCUGUUCAGGGAAGGUGGCACUUAAUAUUUUAAAAGUGGUGGCUGGAACUGUAUUUCAUGAAGGCCUUGAUUCCAUGGGAUGUUAAGGUGCUCUAAGAAAACAGUGGCUCAAGACUUUCAUGGGGACAGAGGCAAAGAAAUUCCCUGUUUCUGCGUCUCCUUUGAAUUUAAGUAUGCCUGAACUGGAGGCCUAAGUCUUGGGCAGUUUUGGGCAUGGACACCUUUUGAACUUAGGAUCCACCAGAGUGAGGCAACAACCAAGCUGUUUGAGAGGUGCCACCUCACUCCUGAAAACCGUGUUCUGUAGGUGAUGCUCAAAUUCCCAAGCUAUGCAGCCUGCUUGACUUCAGAUGUAAUCAUUCUUCUCUGAAAGGUCAAGGCACAAGAAGGAAUGCCUCAAUCAUUUAAUCUAGCACCUCUACAUCAAGUUUUCCUUUUUUUCCCCUCCAGCCUACCCUGAGUUAGCUGCUGUUACUGAUCCAUCCUCCUGCCAGUGGGAGGGAAGAGUCUUGUGCCCUCCCUCAUGUGGCCUUCAAGGUCCAUCUGAUACUUUGCUGAGGUUUUGGUGUUCUGCACCUAGACCUUGUACAGAGAGCUAUUGGCUUACCUUCCUAGCCUGUCUUUUUUUCUUUAACUGAAAGGUAUAACUCCUAAACUGCAGCUUCUGACGUGUGCAGUGCUCUAGAUAAGAUCUUGCUGACCCUGUAAGACACUUCACAAUAAAAGAAAUUAUUUUGUUGCAUCAGUAUGAUUUAUGAGUAUUGAAAUGUAGACAAGGAUCCUAGCAAGGGAGAUAGAAAUCUGAUAUGAGGAAAAGAGAUGCUGUUUGGGUACACAAAUUGGGAACACUAAUGUCCUUGUUACAGCUCUGGAGAAAUUGGAUCAGGUUAACCAUAUGAUCGAAAAUAUAAUGGAGUGUCACAUUAAUUUUAAAGACCUCAGUAAAUCAGUAAGCGUCUUGAAGGGUGAAACAGAUGUCCUAAGCUUGAAUAUUCAUCUUUGUCUCCAAUAGGUUUUAUACUAAUCUAGCUGUGUUACUGAAGUUCUAUAAGUUGGUGAAGCAACCAUCUUUCACUUAGUAUCUGCACCAGGCACAGUAUAAGACAUAUGUAAAUUCACUGAAGAAACUGAAUCAUCAGAGAAGAGGAACUUUUCUGAUGCUUGACUAGCAUGGUAAUGGAAGAGAAAAACACAGAACUGAGCAGAAAGUCAGACCUACCCUAAAUAAGCAUGACCCUGAGAAAAAGCCCAGAGGGGCAGGUUUGGAAAUACGCUGUCUGGAAGAGACUUGGUAGAAGCACAAGAAACUGCCUCUGUUUUCUUAAUCCCUCCAAUGCCUGAAGGAACAGUGCUCAGAAAUUUUGUGAGAAACAGCAUUGCAUCAAUUUCUCCUAAGCACAGUAACUUGCAAGGCCUCCACAUUUUUGGCCAGAAAGAGUCUUUGAUUUGCUGUUUUGCAGCUGCCUUAGGAUCAGGUUUUUAAACAUUUUAUAACUGCAUCCUUUUUUCCCCCAGUUUAUGCCAUUUUAGCAGGCUUGUCUAUGGCCGGUACAUAUUGUCACUCCUCUGCCAGGUAGGAACAGAUUUGAAGCUUUGCAGGUUGCUGUCCUGUUGAGCAAGAAACCUGUGCUGCAGGAAUGAUUUUAUUUAUUUAUUUAUUUGCUUUACCUGCACACACUGUGUGUGUAGAUACAGACAGAAAACAGAUUCAAGAAAAUACCUUGUUGAACUACGUGCAGCCACCAGCACCACAUGGCUCCUGCUGCACAGCCUCCACUGGUGACCGAGCCUAACUUUCGCUGUUUGUCUAUCACUGGCAUGUACUGACCGCUACGUGUUCAGUCACUUAUUUAACCCUGUCAAGAGAUUGAAGAGAAAGGUUAAAAUAGAGGUGUGCAAAAGAUUACUUAGUACCAUUGAAUUUCAUGUCUUUUCUACUAAUAGAUAAGACAAUUUCUGUCUAACAUAUUUUUGACUGAGUUGUAGGCUAUGGCAGCAAGAAAAGCCAUUUUUAUGUCUUUCUGCUGUUUCCUAGUUCAGGUGCUUUCUUUUAUUCACUGUUCUAUUUCUUUGCUUUGUAUUAGAAGGUUUGAACAUUUUGUCUUGUUUUCCCUAUUUCUCAAUGUUCCUAAUAAAAACUACAGCAAUAAAAGACAAAUUCACUCUU